AUGAACGCUAGCGACAGGCUUAACACAUGCAAGUCGAGGGGCAGCGGGGGAUAAGCUUGCUUUUCCUGCCGGCGACCGGCGCACGGGUGAGUAACACGUAUGCAACCUGCCCCUGUCAGAGGGAUAAUCCGGAGAAAUCCGGUCUAAUAUCGCAUAAAGCGUUUGCGGGGCAUCCUGCGAGCGCCAAAGGAGUAAUCCGGACAGGGAUGGGCAUGCGGCGCAUUAGCUAGUUGGGGGGGUAACGGCCCACCAAGGCGACGAUGCGUAGGGGUUCUGAGAGGAAGGUCCCCCACAUUGGUACUGAGACACGGACCAAACUCCUACGGGAGGCAGCAGUGAGGAAUAUUGGUCAAUGGGCGGAAGCCUGAACCAGCCAAGUCGCGUGAGGGAAGACGGCCCUAUGGGUUGUAAACCUCUUUUGCCGGGGAGCAAAAGCGCCGUGCGCGGUGCUAUGAGAGUACCCGGAGAAAAAGCAUCGGCUAACUCCGUGCCAGCAGCCGCGGUAAUACGGAGGAUGCGAGCGUUAUCCGGAUUUAUUGGGUUUAAAGGGUGCGUAGGCGGACAGUUAAGUCAGCGGUCAAAACGGGCGGCUCAACCGCCUGCCGCCGUUGAAACUGGCAGUCUAGAGUGGGCGAGAAGUACGCGGAAUGCGCGGUGUAGCGGUGAAAUGCAUAGAUAUUGCGCAGAACUCCGAUUGCGAAGGCAGCGUACCGGCGCCCGACUGACGCUGAGGCACGAAAGCGUGGGGAUCGAACAGGAUUAGAUACCCUGGUAGUCCACGCAGUAAACGAUGGACACUAUCUGUUCGGGUCGAAUGGGAUCUGAGUGGCACAGCGAAAGCGUUAAGUGUCCCACCUGGGGAGUACGCCGGCAACGGUGAAACUCAAAGGAAUUGACGGGGGCCCGCACAAGCAGUGGAGUAUGUGGUUUAAUUCGACGCAACGCGAAGAACCUUACCAAGUCUUGACAUCCUGCGACGGACAUAGAAAUAUGUUUUUCCUUUGGGACGCAGAGACAGGUGGUGCAUGGUUGUCGUCAGCUCGUGCCGUGAGGUGUCGGCUUAAGUGCCAUAACGAGCGCAACCCCCAUCCGCAGUUGCCAGCAGGUAAAGCUGGGGACUCUGCGGAGACUGCCGGCGCAAGCUGAGAGGAAGGCGGGGAUGACGUCAAAUCAGCACGGCCCUUACGUCCGGGGCGACACACGUGUUACAAUGGCAGGGACAGAGGGAAGCCACCGGGCGACCGGGCGCGGACCCCGAAACCCUGUCUCAGUUCGGAUCGGAGUCUGCAACUCGACUCCGUGAAGCUGGAUUCGCUAGUAAUCGCGCAUCAGCCAUGGCGCGGUGAAUACGUUCCCGGGCCUUGUACACACCGCCCGUCAAGCCAUGGAAGCCGGGAGUGCCUGAAGUGCGUGACCGCAAGGAGCGCCCUAGGGUAAAACCGGUGACUGGGGCU
rnacentral:rRNA from 1 species